CCAUAUAAGGACAUUGUAAUCUGUUAAUGUUUAAAUGCGUAUUAUAAGAUCUUUUACAAUAGUUUAUUCAUUAUUUAAUUUAUUUUAAAUAUGAUUAAAUGUAAAAGUUUCGAAUAUGCCAUUGACAGAUUUUAUAUAUAUUGUACUUAAAUCAUUUUUGAUUUUAUAAUAAUAUAAUUAUCGUAGAUUUUUAUAUUUA
rnacentral:rRNA from 1 species